UUGAUAUUCUUUGGAGGGGAGA
rnacentral:siRNA from 1 species